GGUUAAGCGACUAAGCGUACACGGUGGAUGCCCUGGCAGUCAGAGGCGAUGAAGGACGUGCUAAUCUGCGAUAAGCGUCGGUGAGGUGAUAUGAACCGUUAUAACCGGCGAUUUCCGAAUGGGGAAACCCAGUGUGUUUCGACACACUAUCAUUAACUGAAUCCAUAGGUUAAUGAGGCGAACCGGGGGAACUGAAACAUCUAAGUACCCCGAGGAAAAGAAAUCAACCGAGAUUCCCCCAGUAGCGGCGAGCGAACGGGGAGGAGCCCAGAGCCUGAAUCAGUGUGUGUGUUAGUGGAAGCGUCUGGAAAGGCGCGCGAUACAGGGUGACAGCCCCGUACACAAAAAUGCACAUGCUGUGAGCUCGAUGAGUAGGGCGGGACACGUGGUAUCCUGUCUGAAUAUGGGGGACCAUCCUCCAAGGCUAAAUACUCCUGACUGACCGAUAGUGAACCAGUACCGUGAGGGAAAGGCGAAAAGAACCCCGGCGAGGGGAGUGAAAAAGAACCUGAAACCGUGUACGUACAAGCAGUGGGAGCCUCUUAAUGGGGUGACUGCGUACCUUUUGUAUAAUGGGUCAGCGACUUAUAUUCUGUAGCAAGGUUAACCGAAUAGGGGAGCCGAAGGGAAACCGAGUCUUAACUGGGCGUUAAGUUGCAGGGUAUAGACCCGAAACCCGGUGAUCUAGCCAUGGGCAGGUUGAAGGUUGGGUAACACUAACUGGAGGACCGAACCGACUAAUGUUGAAAAAUUAGCGGAUGACUUGUGGCUGGGGGUGAAAGGCCAAUCAAACCGGGAGAUAGCUGGUUCUCCCCGAAAGCUAUUUAGGUAGCGCCUCGUGAAUUCAUCUCCGGGGGUAGAGCACUGUUUCGGCAAGGGGGUCAUCCCGACUUACCAACCCGAUGCAAACUGCGAAUACCGGAGAAUGUUAUCACGGGAGACACACGGCGGGUGCUAACGUCCGUCGUGAAGAGGGAAACAACCCAGACCGCCAGCUAAGGUCCCAAAGUCAUGGUUAAGUGGGAAACGAUGUGGGAAGGCCCAGACAGCCAGGAUGUUGGCUUAGAAGCAGCCAUCAUUUAAAGAAAGCGUAAUAGCUCACUGGUCGAGUCGGCCUGCGCGGAAGAUGUAACGGGGCUAAACCAUGCACCGAAGCUGCGGCAGCGACACUAUGUGUUGUUGGGUAGGGGAGCGUUCUGUAAGCCUGUGAAGGUGGCCUGUGAGGGUUGCUGGAGGUAUCAGAAGUGCGAAUGCUGACAUAAGUAACGAUAAAGCGGGUGAAAAGCCCGCUCGCCGGAAGACCAAGGGUUCCUGUCCAACGUUAAUCGGGGCAGGGUGAGUCGACCCCUAAGGCGAGGCCGAAAGGCGUAGUCGAUGGGAAACAGGUUAAUAUUCCUGUACUUGGUGUUACUGCGAAGGGGGGACGGAGAAGGCUAUGUUGGCCGGGCGACGGUUGUCCCGGUUUAAGCGUGUAGGCUGGUUUUCCAGGCAAAUCCGGAAAACCAAGGCUGAGGCGUGAUGACGAGGCACUACGGUGCUGAAGUGACAAAUGCCCUGCUUCCAGGAAAAGCCUCUAAGCAUCAGGUAACAUCAAAUCGUACCCCAAACCGACACAGGUGGUCAGGUAGAGAAUACCAAGGCGCUUGAGAGAACUCGGGUGAAGGAACUAGGCAAAAUGGUGCCGUAACUUCGGGAGAAGGCACGCUGAUAUGUAGGUGAAGCGACUUGCUCGUGGAGCUGAAAUCAGUCGAAGAUACCAGCUGGCUGCAACUGUUUAUUAAAAACACAGCACUGUGCAAACACGAAAGUGGACGUAUACGGUGUGACGCCUGCCCGGUGCCGGAAGGUUAAUUGAUGGGGUUAGCGGUAACGCGAAGCUCUUGAUCGAAGCCCCGGUAAACGGCGGCCGUAACUAUAACGGUCCUAAGGUAGCGAAAUUCCUUGUCGGGUAAGUUCCGACCUGCACGAAUGGCGUAAUGAUGGCCAGGCUGUCUCCACCCGAGACUCAGUGAAAUUGAACUCGCUGUGAAGAUGCAGUGUACCCGCGGCAAGACGGAAAGACCCCGUGAACCUUUACUAUAGCUUGACACUGAACAUUGAGCCUUGAUGUGUAGGAUAGGUGGGAGGCUUUGAAGUGUGGACGCCAGUCUGCAUGGAGCCGACCUUGAAAUACCACCCUUUAAUGUUUGAUGUUCUAACGUUGGCCCCUAAUCGGGGUUGCGGACAGUGUCUGGUGGGUAGUUUGACUGGGGCGGUCUCCUCCUAAAGAGUAACGGAGGAGCACGAAGGUUGGCUAAUCCUGGUCGGACAUCAGGAGGUUAGUGCAAUGGCAUAAGCCAGCUUGACUGCGAGCGUGACGGCGCGAGCAGGUGCGAAAGCAGGUCAUAGUGAUCCGGUGGUUCUGAAUGGAAGGGCCAUCGCUCAACGGAUAAAAGGUACUCCGGGGAUAACAGGCUGAUACCGCCCAAGAGUUCAUAUCGACGGCGGUGUUUGGCACCUCGAUGUCGGCUCAUCACAUCCUGGGGCUGAAGUAGGUCCCAAGGGUAUGGCUGUUCGCCAUUUAAAGUGGUACGCGAGCUGGGUUUAGAACGUCGUGAGACAGUUCGGUCCCUAUCUGCCGUGGGCGCUGGAGAACUGAGGGGGCUGCUCCUAGUACGAGAGGACCGGAGUGGACGCAUCACUGGUGUUCGGGUUGUCAUGCCAAUGGCACUGCCCGGUAGCUAAAUGCGGAAGAGAUAAGUGCUGAAAGCAUCUAAGCACGAAACUUGCCCCGAGAUGAGUUCUCCCUGAGACUUAGAGUCUCCUGAAGGAACGUUGAAGACGACGACGUUGAUAGGCCGGGUGUGUAAGCGCAGCGAUGCGUUGAGCUAACCGGUACUAAUGAACCGUGAGGCUUAACCUU
rnacentral:rRNA from 1 species